GUGUCAGCAGCCGCGGUAAGACGAAGGAUGCAAGCGUUAUCCGGAUUCAUUGGGUUUAAAGGGUGCGUAGGCGGCCUAAUAAGUCAGUGGUGAAAUCUCCUCGCUUAACGAGGAAACUGCCAUUGAUACUGUUGGGCUUGAGUACAGAUGCUGUGGGCGGAAUAUGACAUGUAGUGGUGAAAUACAUAGAGAUGUCAUAGAACACCGAUUGCGAAGGCAGCUCACAAAACUGUAACUGACGCUGAGGCACGAAAGUGCGGGGAUCAAACAGGAUUAGAAACCCGAGUAGUCC
rnacentral:rRNA from 1 species